CCCUAGUAACUGCGAGUGAAGCGGGAAAAGCUCAAAUUUAAAAUCUGGCGGUCUCUGGCCGUCCGAGUUGUAAUCUAGAGAAGUGUUAUCCGCGUUGGACCGUGUACAAGUUUCCUGGAAUGGAACGUCAUAGAGGGUGAGAAUCCCGUCUUUGGCACGGACUGCCAGUGCUUUGUGAUACGCUCUCAAAGAGUCGAGUUGUUUGGGAAUGCAGCUCAAAAUGGGUGGUAAAUUCCAUCUAAAGCUAAAUAUUGGCGAGAGACCGAUAGCGAACAAGUACCGUGAGGGAAAGAUGAAAAGAACUUUGGAAAGAGAGUUAAACAGUACGUGAAAUUGCUGAAAGGGAAACGCUUGAAGUCAGUCGCGUUGGCCGGGAAUCAACCUUGCUUUUGCUGGGCGUACUUYCCGGUUGACGGGUCAGCAUCAAUUUUGACCGUUGGAUAAAGGUCAGGGGAAUGUGGCAUCUUCGGAUGUGUUAUAGCCCUUGGUCGCAUACAACGAUUGGGAUUGAGGAACUCAGCACGCCGCAAGGCCGGGAAUUUAUUCCACGUUCGUGCUUAGGAUGCUGGCAUAAUGGCUUUAAUCGACCCGUCUUGAAACACGGACCAAGGAGUCUAACAUGCCUGCGAGUGUUUGGGUGGAAAACCCGAGCGCGUAAUGAAAGUGAAAGUUGAGAUCCCUGUCGCGGGGAGCAUCGACGCCCGGACCAGACCUUUUGUGACGGAUCCGCGGUAGAGCAUGUAUGUUGGGACCC
rnacentral:rRNA from 1 species